rnacentral:rRNA from 1 species
AUUGAACGCUGGCGGCAUGCCUUACACAUGCAAGUCGAACGGCAGCACGGGAGCAAUCCUGGUGGCGAGUGGCGAACGGGUGAGUAAUACAUCGGAACGUGCCCAAUCGUGGGGGAUAACGCAGCGAAAGCUGUGCUAAUACCGCAUACGAUCUACGGAUGAAAGCAGGGGACCGCAAGGCCUUGCGCGAAUGGAGCGGCCGAUGGCAGAUUAGGUAGUUGGUGGGGUAAAGGCUCACCAAGCCUGCGAUCUGUAGCUGGUCUGAGAGGACGACCAGCCACACUGGGACUGAGACACGGCCCAGACUCCUACGGGAGGCAGCAGUGGGGAAUUUUGGACAAUGGGCGCAAGCCUGAUCCAGCCAUGCCGCGUGCAGGAUGAAGGCCUUCGGGUUGUAAACUGCUUUUGUACGGAACGAGAAGGUCUUUUCUAAUAAAGAAGGCUCAUGACGGUACCGUAAGAAUAAGCACCGGCUAACUACGUGCCAGCAGCCGCGGUAAUACGUAGGGUGCGAGCGUUAAUCGGAAUUACUGGGCGUAAAGCGUGCGCAGGCGGUGAUGUAAGACAGUUGUGAAAUCCCCGGGCUCAACCUGGGAACUGCAUCUGUGACUGCAUCGCUGGAGUGCGGCAGAGGGGGAUGGAAUUCCGCGUGUAGCAUGUAAAUGCGUAGAUAUGCGGAGGAACACCGCUGGCGAAGGCAAUCCCCUGGGCCUGCACUGACGCUCAUGCACGAAAGCGUGGGGAGCAAACAGGAUUAGAUACCCUGGUAGUCCACGCCCUAAACGAUGUCAACUGGUUGUUGGGUCUUCACUGACUCAGUAACGAAGCUAACGCGUGAAGUUGACCGCCUGGGGAGUACGGCCGCAAGGUUGAAGCUCAAAGGAAUUGACGGGGACCCGCACAAGCGGUGGAUGAUGUGGUUUAAUUCGAUGCAACGCGAAAAACCUUACCCACCUUUGACAUGUACGGAAUUUGCCAGAGAUGGCUUAGUGCUCGAAAGAGAACCGUAACACAGGUGCUGCAUGGCUGUCGUCAGCUCGUGUCGUGAGAUGUUGGGUUAAGUCCCGCAACGAGAGCAACCCUUGUCAUUAGUUGCUACAUUUAGUUGGGCACUCUAAUGAGACUGCCGGUGACAAACCGGAGGAAGGUGGGGAUGACGUCAAGUCCUCAUGGCCCUUAUAGGUGGGGCUACACACGUCAUACAAUGGCUGGUACAAAGGGUUGCCAACCCGCGAGGGGGAGCUAAUCCCAUAAAACCAGUCGUAGUCCGGAUCGCAGUCUGCAACUCGACUGCGUGAAGUCGGAAUCGCUAGUAAUCGUGGAUCAGAAUGUCACGGUGAAUACGUUCCCGGGUCUUGUACACACCGCCCGUCACACCAUGGGAGCGGGUUCUGCCAGAAGUAGUUAGCCUAACCGCAAGGAGGGCGAUUACCACGGCAGGGUUCGUGACUGGGGUG